rnacentral:rRNA from 1 species
AUUGAACGCUGGCGGCAUGCCUUACACAUGCAAGUCGAACGGUAACGGGCCUUCGGGUGCCGACGAGUGGCGAACGGGUGAGUAAUACAUCGGAACGUGCCCGAUCGUGGGGGAUAACGAGGCGAAAGCUUUGCUAAUACCGCAUACGAUCUACGGAUGAAAGCAGGGGACCGCAAGGCCUUGCGCGGACGGAGCGGCCGAUGGCAGAUUAGGUAGUUGGUGGGAUAAAAGCUUACCAAGCCGACGAUCUGUAGCUGGACUGAGAGGAUGAUCAGCCACACUGGGACUGAGACACGGCCCAGACUCCUACGGGAGGCAGCAGUGGGGAAUUUUGGACAAUGGGCGCAAGCCUGAUCCAGCCAUGCCGCGUGCAGGAUGAAGGCCUUCGGGUUGUAAACUGCUUUUGUACGGAACGAAAAGCCUUCUUUUAAUACAGGAGGGUCAUGACGGUACCGUAAGAAUAAGCACCGGCUAACUACGUG